CGAGAUCUACAACUGCGUCGAGCUCGUCAGCGUCUAUCUCUUUCAGCUGGCACCGUCCACCUCGCACAGAUCCAGGAUUGCCGAGGCUUACAACUCGUGCCUCAUGAGGCAGAACUCGAGCAGCAUGCUGGAAGAAGCCGAAAGGAACGAUCGGAAGGAGCUCAUGACUCUCGCAAUGAGCCAAGAGCCGGGAAGCCUGACGACUGAGACAGAACGAGCCAAAGAGAUACUCUGCUCCAUGCUCCUGGGAAACAAGUCAGUGAUUAACCACAAGGAACUCAAGCUGACAACACACCUGGGACAAGGAGCUUACGGAACCGUGUACGAAGCAAUCUGGCUCGGUCACAAGUUUGCAGUGAAAGUCUUCCCUCAAGGUGACACCAGCUUCGCCAAAGAGCUCGCGGUUCUUGAAGCGGACAAGCAUCCCAACGUGUUGCACAUCGCCGGCCAUUGUUUCGAUGAAGAGAAGCAGCGGUACUCGCUGGUGAUGGAGAAGAUGGAGAUGGACCUGGCAAACUACCUCCUCAAGAAGAAGAACUCUCUCCCGUUGCUGUCGAUCGUGGCAGUGAUGCUCCAAGUUGCUACUGGCAUGGCCUGGCUUCACUCGAAGAAUAUAAUCCACCGGGACCUCAAGCCGCAGAACAUCUUGGUUGGCGAAGAAGACAACGAUCUCGUGAGUAUCAGGAUUGCCGACUUUGGAGUCUCGAGGCCAAACUUCAUCUCCUCCCAGAUCGAAGCCGUUAGCAUCCAAGGCACCAGGAACUUCAUGGCACCGGAAGUGUGGAGCGGCGAGCGCUACACGAAGAAGGCCGACGUUUACAGGUACGGGAUGCUGAUUUACCAGCUUGUCACUGGAAACGUUCCGUUCGAGGACGGGAUGGACAUGGAGCAAGUCCUUCGAGGCGAGCGUCCUGAGGUACCAGCAACCUGUCCAGCAUGCGGGAAUGCUGGAGCCACGAUGCAAAAGAGAGGCCUUCCUUCUCGGAUAUCUGCGAGCGGCUGAAGCAGCUCAAGACCAGGAUCAUCACUGGCACCGACUCCAUCGACAAGUUACGAGCCAAGUUGGUUGCAGCAGCCAGGUCAUCUUCCUCUUCUUCGUACUCGUCGUCUUCCUCGUCCUCGUCGCACAGCAGGACUCGAGUGAACCUGGAUUCUCCUGUCCAAGCACCUGAAGGGCUUUCAACCCAAAAUCCUCCAUCUCCCGUUGUCCAGGUAAACUCUUUUGGUUUUAGUAACUCCACCUUUAGUUUCAGCCGGCACCACACCGUCCUCAGCACGUCGCACCAGCAGCAAAGCCGGAUAACAGGGCCGAGCUCUUCGAACUGGUGAAGAACGGCCUCGUCAAAAACGCCUUUGAGAAAGCUCUGUCCCUGAACGAUCCUUCCACGGUCUGGUGGCUUUGCACCAAGGUAAUCCAUUCACGUCCUCCAGCUGCUCAUCAAAGCUUUGUCAGCUCAGUUGGAGGUUAGCAUCCUGCCCGCCUUCAGUGAAUCAAUGCUCAUGGAAGUGGCCGAGCAAAUCAACACCAACUUCAAGGAAGACACUGCUCGCAGGUUGCUCUGGUUCGCCGAGAUCCUGUUCAUCUUGCUGUACGUCAACGUCAAUGGACAGACAUCACCUCGGAUGCAGAGGAUCUUGGAGGAGCUUUCACAGAACCUCCACGGCAUGAUGGCUAUAACACCGUCAAAGAGCGAGCUGGGGACGGAGCUGGCGGACGUGCUGAAAAGAACCAACGUGGGUCUUCGGGUUCGUAUGAAGCUCUUCGUGUUAUUCGUUUGAUUCAAAUCGUUUGUCGUCGCAGCGUAUCCGAUAUGGGAACAAACUUCAGAAGAAAGGGAAAAGAAAACUGUGAAAUAAAAAAGCUAUAUAUUUCCAGCGGAACACCGGUAGUUUAUGAGUAUUGAGAUGUUCUAAUUUUCUGCCUGCCAAAAGUAUCAACCAUGCUUCACGAAAGAACCAUAAAGAACUUACCAAUUCCCAUUCGUAACUUCGUCUCAUCCUGCUGGGGAAAAUGUGAAGGAAACUUACGAGAUAAAUAUCAAAGCACAAAGGUCUCACCAUUCUUUACUUCUUAAACUCGAGUAGACGGUGAAGAUCCCAACCUUUUCUAUCUGGCAGCAGCAGUAGCAGCCUUGGCAGCUUCCGGAUCAUCGCUCUCCGCUCAAAGAACGAUUUUCCAGAAACUUCAUGGCACCAGAAGUGUGGACCAGCGAGCGCUACACGAAGAAGGCCGACGUUUACAGCUACGGGAUGCUGAGCUACCAGCUUGUCACUGGAAACACUCCGUUCAAGGUCGGGAUGGACAUGGAGCAAGUCCUUCGAGGCGAGCGUCCUGAGAUACCAGCCACCUGUCCAGAGUUCCUGUCGCAGCUCAUGCGGGAAUGCUGGAGCCACGAUGCAAAAGAGAGGCCUUCCUUCUCCGAUAUCUGCAAGCGGCUGAAGCAGCUCAAGUCCAGGAUCAUCACUGGCACCGACACCAUCGACGAGCUACGAGCCAAGUAGGUUGAAGCAGCCAGGUCAUCUUCCUCUUCUUCGUACUCGUCGUCUUCCUUGUCCUCGUUGCACAGCAGGACUCGAGUGAACCUGGAUUCUCUUGUCCAAGCGACUGAGAAGCUCUGGACCCAAAAUCCCCCGCCUUGUCGUGUCCAGGUAAACUCUUUUGCUUUAUGUAACUUCUGGAGCUCACCACCUUUGGUUUCAGCCGGUACCACACCGUCCUCACCAGGUCGCACCAUUACCAAAACCAGAUCAAAGGACCGAGCUCUUCGAACUGGUAAAGAACGGCCUCAUCAUAAACGCCUUCGAGAAAGCUCUGUCCCUGAACGAUCCUUCCAGUCUGGUGGCUUUGCACCAAGGUAAUCUGUUUACGCUCUCUGGCCGCUGAUCACGCCCGUCCUUUGUCAACUCAGGUAGAGCAUACCGUGCUGCUUGUCUUCAGUGAAUCGAUGCUCAUGGCACUGACCGAGAAAAUUAACACCAACUUCACGGAAGACACUGCUCGCAGGCUGGUCUGGAUCGACGAGACUGCCGUCUUGCUGUUCAAAGACGUCAAUGGAUGGGCAUCACCUCGGAAGAUGAGGAUCCUGGAGCAGCUUUCAUAGAACCUCCACGGUAUGAUGGCCAUAACACCACCAAAGAGUGAGCUGGGCAUGACCUUAACGAACAUGCUGGAAGGCACCAACGUGUGGCUGGAGGUUUGUACAUAUGAAGCUCUUCGUUUCUUUCGUUUCCAUCCAACAAACCUACAUCGUUUUGUUGCAGCGUGUCCGGAUUGCAGUGGAACAAAGUUCGAUACAUGAGCAUCGUUGGCAGAUACUCUCCAGCGGAACACCGGUAUUUUCUGGAUGUUGAUGUCCUGGCAUAAAACAUGAUUCACCUUACCCUGUACCGCUUAUCCUGCCUGCAAAAAUUACGAGAAAAAGAAUGAGCUCACCUGUUUUCUACAGCCGUGACCUCUGGCAAGCUGAAGAUCUUGCUCUCCGAGUGAAAUCGCUUGCUUGCUCGCCUAAACCCUAAUUUCGCUCAGUUAAUGUUUUCUUAAAUUCUCACAUUCACAGCCCAACAAAACCACCGGGGGAUGUAUGUGAUAAAUUGCUUCUCUAUUUAGUUCUGGUCAAGUAGAACAAUCAGCAUCAUCAUUGUCUUUUACCAUGUUUAUUGUGCCUAGCAGCAUCACUAAUGUAUGUCAGAAAAUUAUGCAAAAUGCAGCAAGUGUAAAUAACAUUUAUAUCUGGAGGCUGUAUUCUAUGCUUAUGUUCCAAGAUUUGGAACUUACAUGUAUUAGAUAGAAUGAAGCUAAAUUAGACAUAUCCUUAAGAAGCCAAACGCAAUGCAUAACUUCUUGCGCUGUUUGUUGCCAAAGUUAGUUGCAUUGAGAUGUGCUAACUGUUGAAAUGGCAUCAUGAUCCAUGGACUGUGAGGAUGUAGUACAUCUGAGAUCACUGUACGGCUGAGACACGUGGUGACACGUGGCGGAUUCACAACUCUCACCUGUGUAUGUAUAGCGAUGAUGAUAAAGUUUUCGGUCUUCCUCCUCCAUUCAGCCCACCAUGUUUAAAACUAAGGAAGAAAAUGAUCUGAAUUGCAAAAAUCAAGAUGGAGGUUUUCUUGUUUAGGCAACCCUAAACGGUUCUCCUGCUGCUACAAGGGAAGGCUUCCUCAGGCUGGAGAUUUGCUGAUGAUGCCAAGAGGCUUCUCUUCUUGCUGGGCACUAGGCGUGGAAUUUCUGUGCGUAAAGGGCUUUGACGCUGAUGGAGAGAUCACAUUUGGGUGGGGGAGAUGGAGCAAGAUGCUAGUUUCUGACGGGUCCUGAUACAAGCUGGGCUGUGUGCAAGCUUGGGUACCUUGGAACGUGCUGCUGCUGUUGUUCAACACCACAAGAUGCUGAUUUCAUGAGCUCAGCUUUUCUCAUUUUACCAUUAGUGUAACAGCAAAACAUACCUGCAAGCCCAUAAACGCCUCCUUGAGCUCCGUAAGUUAAAACUUUCACGUAUUUCUCCUUCUUGUCCUUCUCCUCUACGAGCAUUUCAUAGAUCUGUCCACUUGCAGUUGCAAGCACAAUCUCUCCUGAUGAAUCUGCAUUGUCAUGAAAUUGACUUCCUUAGCAGCACAAGCAGGCAGUGGAAAAUCUUCACUACUUACAGUCGCUUAGCUGGGACUUGUUCCAGCAAACAGCAUUGACGAGCACGCCUUUGAGCCGAGAAACAGCACAAGCUUUCUUCCAUUUCGCAUGGAUGUACAAGGUCUCGGCACCACUGCUGCUCCGAAGAUUUGCUAGACAGUGCCUUCCACUGGGAUCCAGGAAAACCUUACAAACGUAUUGAUCGGCUCCGCGGCUCAACUCCAACUCUAUCGGAUCACGGGAAAAAAGCUCACAGUUUUCAGAAGAAACAAAGAAAGCGAGCGUGAAUUUUCCUUGAUAUUUUUGGAGACUCACCUAAGUUAUCCUCGCCUCCAAAAUCAUGACAAACAAUCCAGCCGCUGCUAGUACCGACGAGCAGGACAUUGUUUCCAGCGGCUACUGAGGUGACAAGCCGGUGACCUUUGGCAGCGGUUUGCUCCAGGACAUCCAAGCUGAAGAUCUUGAUCUCUGGCCUCGACAGUGAAAUCGCCUGGAACUAGGAAUUGAAUCAGCAAUCGACCAUCCAGCUCAAUCUCACCUCGUUGAGCCCCGAUUGAGCGGGUGAAGACACGUCCAUUCAUCGGUGUAAGAAUUAUGAACCUAAUGUAAAAAGGUAAAUUAGAUUUCGUUUGACCAUAUAUAUGGUAAUGCUAAAUUUGCUGUCACUUAUAAGUUUGAAAAUUAAUUAACUAUAAAAUGGUGCUAGGUUAUGAUCAUAUGUUUAAAAUAAUUUCUAUUAGCAAAUCUAAACACUUUCCUUAAAUAGUUAAUUUAACCAAAUGUGUCUUGGCAAAUAUAAUACUUGCCAGUACUUGCCCAGCAAAUGCUGGGUGGUUUACAAAGAGGUGGAUGCGCCAGAAAUAUGUUUCUUACCUGAACUCAAGCACUUGUAUGUAUCUUUCUCAUUUUCUUGGAGGUUUUUGGACCUGUUGUCCUUCAGGUUACUGGACAAUAAUGGCUUCUCUGGAGAAGUUCCCGAUGAAAUUGGAAACUUUUCCAAGCUGACCAUCAUGUAAGCCGUUGAUGGCUAGAAUACAAUCUCGUGUAAUAGUGUAUUUUCAGGAGACUUGACAAAAAUCGAUUUGCUGGAUCACUGCUGAGCAGUUUGGGGCGGAUAUCAACCCUCUUUGAAAUUUAAAUAGCUAAUAUGGUAACUACUUUGUACUCAAGUUUUGUUUCAUUUACAGACACAUCAAUGAUAACGCUUUUACUGGAACGUUACCUGAUCUAAGCGGGUUGAGAGCUCUCCAACUAAUGUAAUAUUUCUUCUUAAUUUGGAGUUGACCUGAUGCAUGUGUGUAUGCAUAACAGAAGCGUUGGAAACAACUCCUUUUCUCCUCAGCCAGUUCCAUCAUUUGCAGGCUUGAUUAAACUCUGGACAAUGUAGGUGAAUUUUGUUAGUUUUUGUUUGAACUUAACAUGUCAUUAAUGAUCCAAGUUUCUUUUCAGACCAAACUUGAAAACAAUGGGAUGAGAGAGGCUCAAACUCUCGACCUCAGGAUUUCUCAGCAGCUAUGAGACCUACGCGCUGACCAACUGCGCCACCAUUUAUUUUAACAUGAUCAUUCUAAACAAAUUUAUCUUAGGAUUGAUUCUGGAAUGCUGACUAUAAUGUCAUACAUCUAUCCACGAACUACAGUUUUAUCCAUGGGCUACUGCAACAAACCGAUUGAUGCCAGCUUUCCCAUCCUUUCCCAACACUUGCUACACAUCAUAGAAUACAAAGAUAUUCAAACUUACGACUUAUAAACCAGGCGAUGCUUGCGGUGGCUUCUCCUUCUCUUUCGAGAGAAACCAGACAUUAGUGCCGUGUCAGAUUUCCAAAACUUCAGGAGCAGUGUUGGCUAGCCACUCGACAGCCCUACGUCAACUCGAAACACCUGGUUCCUACAAACGGAGUUGGUCCCGAGCAUGUGCUGAAACAACAAUCCCUCACCAGGAAGGGAUGCCUCGAGAGAAUCCGGGGUUGAAGAGGGAGUGUCCUUGAUAAUUGCUUUCCUGUAGGCUCCUCCUCUGCUCGAUGAUCUUUGGCAAAUUUACAUUCGUUCUUCCCUGUCCGUCCUCACGCUGCUUGGCUCGUUUUCCUCAAGUAGCUCUCAAACGCGUCCAGCGUGUGGACAUCGGUUCUAUAGUGCUUCUGGGUGAAUUCUAGCAGCUGCCCCCAAGUAAACUCCACGCACGGCCUCUUGCGAUCUUGCUCUUCGUCUUCUUUGCUCUUGACCACCAGCUCUGGAAUCGGCCGGAUCACCAUGUCCAGCCCCGGGUUGAUGAAGAAAACCAGCGAGUGCCUGGCUCGGGUGGCAUGGAUCACUGCGCGGUGCUUGGCACUCUUGUAGCGAUGGUUGCACAGUGCCUGUGACGAAGAGAAAGCUGCGUGAGAGAUGUUUUAUAAAAAGAAAAGGAAAAAAGAAGAGCACCACCAUCUACAACCAGCUAUAGCGCUGCGAGGAGGGAGAGGAGAGGGAAGAGCAGAAACAAAAGAAUUCUCGCUCUGUUUACCUGGAAUGUGUCACCGAUGCUGAUGACAAACGCAUCGGCACGGGGCUCGACUGUGACCCAAGUCUCGGGAAUGAAGAGGGAGUGUCCUUGAUAAUUGCUUUCCUGUAGGCCAAAGAGCUCGUGAGGCAGUGGCGAACAGGGAUCAAAGCUUUGCUGAGUUGGAGAUGAGCCAAUGUUGAUCCCGAGAGGAGCCUGGAUUGUGUGCCCGACUACCAUUCUGCUCGCCCCUGUUACUAACCACGCACAGGCUCUCACAGGAAUGCCCACACAACCGAGCAGCCAUGGAACCCUAGGAGUGCAUGGCAUAACACCUGUCACCACGCCCUCUUCCCUUCCUGGCCACACGUGCAUCCCACCCAUUGGCCGCCACAACAUUAAGCCCAUAUUCCCGCUAACCAUGGCCAUUGGCCAUGGCCCGAGCCUAGGCUGGCCUCCCCUUCCCGAGGACCAUGGCUUCCGAGGCUGCCCCGGGCCCGGGGAUCGGACGGCUGCGGGGGUGUGGGUUCUUCGUUCUUAUUAUUAUAGAUGUUUAAAAUAAUUUCUAUUAGCAAAUCUAAACACUUUCCUUAAAUAGUUAAUUUAACCAAAUGUGUCUUGGCAAAUAUAAUAAAUUAUUACAUAAUGAAUACUGAAAGGCUGAGCUUAAUAUCAAAGGGGUUCCUAACACUAGUAAAUGUAAUUUAACCAUAUGAAUUUCAUAUUAAAUAUGCUAUAUUAAAUGAUAAUUUAGGAUAUCAUUCUUUUGUGCCCUUCUAAAUUAUCUACAUGUAUACUGACUAGCCUCUUAACUAGUGUGGGUGGAAACUCUAGCAAUAUCAACUUCCUACUAUCAUGGUAAUAAAAGAAAAAUAUUUAGAAAGACUGAUAGGUAAAGUUUGAUGCUCACAAUCACAUUUGCAAUAGUGAUACACCUCAAAAUAACUUUUUACAUAGCUUAACUUCAUGUUAAUCAUGUUAACUCCUUCCACUUUGUGCAAACAUUUGUCCUUUAAAAAAAUCUUUUUAUUUCCUAGAAUUAAUUUCCUCCUCUUACCUUAUAUGAAAGCACAUUUUGGGCUUUUACCCAGCCUUAGGAGUUUCUCUCUAGGACAAUCACAAAAAUUUAUUAAAUAUAAAAUGAUGUUAGAUUGUGAUUUUGGAUAUGGGAACAACACUAUUAUGUUUAAGAUAAUCUUUAAAUCUGUAAAUAUGCCCAAUUAACAAAUCUAAACACUUUUCAAAUAAGACCAAACGAGACCAACACAUAAAGAAUGAUAUCAAAAGUAUCUUGACAAACACAGUAAACUAUCACUUAGCAAAUAUAGAGGACCAAGCUUCACAUUAUAAGAGUUCCCAAUAUUAGCAAGUGUAAAUCAUCACACUCUAGGAGGCAACAAGAGCUCACUAACAAGACUUAAGUUUGCUUUGGAAUUUGAUAUGCAAAGCCAAUAGCAGUUUAGCCAACUUACCUCAUUAAUGUCAAGUAGAACACCAUAUAAAGUUUGGUAUAGCAUUAAACUGAAUGUGAGUCUUUGCAAGUGGUGUUCAGGAACCACAAGGUUCAAAGAUGAUCAUUAGUUGUCAUAUUUAAUGAGUCUAGGACAUAUACAACACAAGAUCUUUAACCACUGAAACAGUUUUCCUUGACUGAAGUCAAAAGGGACAAUUAGGGCACAUAUAAUAGUGCAGUUGGAGGUGAGGAUGGUGACAAUGAGGAUGAUGCAUCAAGUGGGGAUGGUGUUGGAGACAGCAGCAAUAGUGGAUCCAGUUGGAGUGCCAAUAUGGCAAAUCCAUUGGUUGGGACCUUGAGCUACUAACAAGGAGGAAAGUCAUAAGAAUGAAGUUCCCCUUGGAAGAAGCAAUGGGUGCAGACAGCUUAGCUUAAGUGGGAAUAUUAAGGGAAUGUUCCAACUUCCCUCAAGACAAGUUGACUCUGGCACUGUCUCAAGAGCUCUGUGUGGGAGGGAUCUUGGAGAUAAGCUGCUCGUCCAUGGCUUUGAAAGAUGCCCUAUUGAGCUUGGGGAAAGUCUAACAAUGAGAUAAUUGCUGCAGUCCUUGUGAUGGCUUGUGAAUCAAAAGACACUAGACUUUUGAUGAUCUUGCAUGACAGAUUAGUGUCCGAGACCUUAGAGAAGUUGAAACCUCUUACAAUUUGGGCAAACACUCCACAUUUCCUAAGACCCAUUUUGUAUAUCCAAGGUGAGCACUAUGUAGACCAGCAACAGAAGGAGCAGUGAACAUCUUCUUGAGAUAUUUUACUUGCUAGAUUUAAGUAUUAUUAAUUGAGAAUAAAUAAAGAAUCUACUUUUCUUUUGCUAAUCAAGAGCAAAACACUACACUCACACUUUGGAAAGGAUAAAAAUUAAAUGUUUCAAUUUUGAAACCAAUACCAAGAUUUUGGAAUGCACCAGGCACUACUAGGUUUUUAUUAUAAUUUGAUUGCUCAACUAAUCAAACCUUUAUUAACAUCAAUAGUAAGGUUAACUAACAACCUCUACUGAGCCAAAAUUUAUCAAUCCUUCUAUUGUGUAAAUUAGUUAUUUUAUAACAUUUAUGGACAAAAAAUGGAUCCUAAUGCAAUACAGGUGGAUAAUUAGUUAUUUCAUUUAUAAAAGGAAGAACAUAGAUAUAAUAUUUACAAUUUCAAAUUUAAGGGUAGAAAUAUACAUUGCUCAAGGGUAUGUUAUAUUUUAAAUAGCAACUGAUGAAUAAAUUUGUGACCAUCUUCUCUCACUACUGUCAUCAAGAGCCUACACAAUUUUUCUUGUCUGAUUAAAGUAUGAUUCCGAGACAAAAAAAAAAAUUUACCUUAGGACUUAGAAUUAUUCAAAAAGAAAAGUCCACGGUAGACUUUUCCCACGCUAUACCUUUACAAGAAUGGUGCGGUGCUGGUAGUGAUCACCAACGGGCAUGGCAGCAGCGACUUUGCUCGAGGCAAUUCGAAUCGUGGACAAGCUUUGCACAAUAUCCACUUCCAGCAAGGUCUGUAGAAACCAACAUAGGAUCCUCAUCGCGGCGGUCGGCUAUGUCCGAGACUACCUCAAGCAAAUCCAGGAUCUCAACUUCGCGAGCAACGGGCCAGCCUUCGUGUGGGACGAAACCGUGGCUGUCCUUAACAGAGGUCUCCAUCUCCUCAAGUCGUGCCAAGAAGGCAAUUGGAUCACGCGGAGCCUGCUGUUCGAGGAAAGCUGCAAUGAGUUUCAGAGCAUUUAUCCCGAGAUCUACAACUGCGUCGAGCUCAUCAGCGUCUAUCUCUUUCAGCUGGCACCGUCCACCUCGCACAGAUCCAGGAUUGCCGAGGCUUACAACUCGUGCCUCAUGAGGCAGAACUCGAGCAGCAUACUGGAAGAAGCCGAAAGGAACGAUCGGAAGGAGCUCAUGACUCUCGCAAUGAGCCAAGAGCCGGGAAGCCUGACGACUGAGACAGAACGAGCCAAAGAGAUACUCUGCUCCAUGCUCCUGGGAAACAAGUCAGUGAUUAACCACAAGGAACUCAAGCUGACAACACACCUGGGACAAGGAGCUUACGAAACCGUGUACGAAGCAAUCUGGCUCGGUCACAAGUUUGCAGUGAAAGUCUUCCCUCAAGGUGACACCAGCUUCGCCAAAGAGCUCGCGGUUCUUGAAGCGGACAAGCAUCCCAACGUGUUGCACAUCGCCGGCCAUUGUUUCGAUGAAGAGAAGCAGCGGUACUCGCUGGUGAUGGAGAAGAUGGAGAUGGACCUGGCAAACUACCUCCUCAAGAAGAAGAACUCUCUCCCGUUGCUGUCGAUCGUGGCAGUGAUGCUCCAAGUUGCUACUGGCAUGGCCUGGCUUCACUCGAAGAAUAUAAUCCACCGGGACCUCAAGCCGCAGAACAUCUUGGUUGGCGAAGAAGACAACGAUCUCGUGAGUAUCAGGAUUGCCGACUUUGGAGUCUCGAGGCCAAACUUCAUCUCCUCCCAGAUCGAAGCCGUUAGCAUCCAAGGCACCAGGAACUUCAUGGCACCGGAAGUGUGGAGCGGCGAGCGCUACACGAAAAAGGCCGACGUUUACAGGUACGGGAUGCUGAUUUACCAGCUUGUCACUGGAAACGUUCCGUUCGAGGACGGGAUGGACAUGGAGCAAGUCCUUCGAGGCGAGCGUCCUGAGGUACCAGCAACCUGUCCAGAGUUUCUGUCGCAGCUCAUGCGGGAAUGCUGGAGCCACGAUGCAAAAGAGAGGCCUUCCUUCUCGGAUAUCUGCGAGCGGCUGAAGCAGCUCAAGACCAGGAUCAUCACUGGCACCGACUCCAUCGACGAGUUACGAGCCAAGUUGGUUGCAGCAGCCAGGUCAUCUUCCUCUUCUUCGUACUCGUCGUCUUCCUCGUCCUCGUCGCACAGCAGGACUCGAGUGAACCUGGAUUCUCCUGUCCAAGCACCUGAAGGGCUUUCAACCCAAAAUCCUCCAUCUCCCGUUGUCCAGGUAAACUCUUUUGGUUUUAGUAACUCCACCUUUAGUUUCAGCCGGCACCACACCGUCCUCAGCACGUCGCACCAGCAGCAAAGCCGGAUAACAGGGCCGAGCUCUUCGAACUGGUGAAGAACGGCCUCGUCAAAAACGCCUUUGAGAAAGCUCUGUCCCUGAACGAUCCUUCCACGGUCUGGUGGCUUUGCACCAAGGUAAUCCAUUCACGUUCUCCAGCUGCUCAUCAAACCUUUGUCAGCUCAGGUGGAGCAAAGCGUCCUGCUCCUCUUCAGUGAAUCAAUGCUCAUGGAAGUGGCCGAGCAAAUCAACACCAACUUCAAGGAAGACACUGCUCCCAGGUUGCUCUGGAUCGAGGAUAUCCUGGACAUCUUGCUGUUCGUCGACAAUGUCAAUGGACAGACAUCACCUCGGAUGCAGAGGAUCUUGGAGAAGCUUUCACAGAACCUCCACGGCAUGAUGGCUAUAACACCGCCAAACAACGAGCUGGGGAUGAAGCUGGCGAAAGCGCUGGAAGAUACCAACAUGGGUCUUCAUGUACGUAUGAAACUCUUCGUGUUAUUCGUUUGAUUCAAAUCGUUUGUCGUCGCAGCAUAUCCGAGUUGAGAACAGCAAAGCUGAGAAGAAAGGGAAAAGAAAACAGGGACUUAUGAUGUGAAAUAAAACAGCUAUAUAUUUCCAGCAGAACACUGGUAGUUUGUGAGUAUUGAGAUCUAAUUUUCUGCCUGCCAAAAGUAUCAACCAUGAUUCACGAAAGAACCAUAAAGAACUUACCAAUUCCCAUUCGUAACUUCGUCUCAUCCUGCCGGGGAAAAUGUGAAGGAAACUUACGAGAUAAAUAUCAAAGCACAAAGGUUUCACCAUUCUUUAGUUCUUAAACUCGAGUAGACGGUGAAGAUCCCAACCUUUUCGAUCUAGCAGCAGCAGUAGCAGCCUUGGCAGCUUCCGCCGCAGCGCAGACACCAGUAGUUCUCGUAGGAUCAUCGCUCUCCGCUCAAAGAACGAUUUUGCCGCUUUCAACUUCUCGGGAUCCCCAUACUUGUAUGGCUUGUAGACGAUCCCGGCAGCUAGCCGUUGCUUCUUGAGCUUGGCUGGACGAACGUACGCAUCGCCCAGCUUGGCCUUCAAGCGCUUCUGGAUCACUCUCCUCCGGUACACUUGCGGCUCGGGAAUCUUGGGAUCGGCGAGCGGCAGGCGAUCCGGAGGAGGCACAGCAACCCACCUGAAAAUCCGAUCGUUCGCGUGACCACCACCACCGCCUCCCGCUUUGUUGCGCUUGCCCGGAUUCUUGGAGCCGGCGCCCUCGCCGUGCAAGCACUGCGUGUGGACGAGGAAUUUGCUCCGGAGCCACACGAGCAAGCGCCUGCUCUUGAUCCCUUCCUUCGCGUGAGAUUGCGCGAUCCAAUCGGGCCAUAGGUGCGAACAUUCUGCGUCGGCAGAUCCUUGGGGCUCUUCUUGGCGUAGACCUCGUGGAUGUAGAGGCGCAACGAGCGAGCUCCACUUCAAGAACCCUAUCGAAAUAUCGAUUGCAGAACAGAAUCGAACUAGAACAAGAACAGCAUGAUCCAUUUCUAGUCUCUCGUAAGUCCACGAUUGACGAGGUCGAGCGCGCAACCUGUGCUCGCUGCGCCAAGAAGAAUCCGAAAGACAAGCCAAAGUUUCUGGACAGGCGCUCAAGACGUUACGUGCAAACCACUGGUGGGGAUGCAGGAUACUGUCGUCAAACGCUAUGCUACCGGGAUGCGAGAGUGAACUAGCAGGGCGGAAACUAGGGUAUCCUGGCCGUCCAAUCCUAAACAACCUGUUUGGAGUACUGAAACAAGAAAAGCCAUUAACCUGAUUAAAGUAUCCCAGACAAGACUUAGGACUUAGAAUAUUCAAAAAGAAAAGUCAACGGUAGACUUUUCCCACUCUGCAAAGAAAUGGAGCGGCGCUAGUGGUGAUCACCAACGAGCAUGGCAGCAGCGACUUUGCUCGAGGCGAUUCGAAUCGCGGACAAGGUUGGCACAAGAUCCACGAACACAAACUCGAGCAAGGUCUGUAGAAACCAAUGUAGGAUCCUCAUCGCAGCGGUCGGCUAUGUCCGAGACUACCUCAAGCAAAUCCAGGAUCUCAACUUCGCGAGCAACGGGCCAGCCUUCGUGUGGGACGAAACCGUGGCUGUCCUUAACAGAGGCCUCCAUCUCCUCAAGUCAUGCCAAGAGGGCGAUUGGAUCGCCCGGAGCCUGCUGUUCGAGGAAAGCUGCGAUGAGUUCCAGGGCAUUUACCACGAGAUCUACAACUGCGUCGAGCUCGUCAGCGUCUAUCUCUUUCAGCUGACACCGUCCACCUCGCACAGAUCCAGGAUUGCCGAGGCUUACAACUCGUGCCUCAUGAGGCAAAACUCGAGCAGCAUGCUGGAAGAAGCCGGAAGGAACGAUCGGAAGGAGCUCAUGACUCUCGCAAUGAACCAAGAACCAGGAAGCCUGACGACCGAGACAGAACGAGCCAAAGAGAUACACUGCUCCAUGCUCCUGGGAAACAAGUCAGUGAUCAACCACAAGGAACUCAAGCUGAGAACACACCUGGGACAAGGAGCUUACGGAACCGUGUACGAAGCAAUGUGGCUCGGUCACAAGUUCGCGGUGAAAGUCUUCGCUCAAGGUGACACCAGCUUCGCCAAAGAGCUCGCGGUUCUCGGAGCUCACAAGCAUCCCAACGUGUUGCACAUUGCCGGCCAUUCUUUCGAUGGAGAGAAGCGGCAGUACUCGCUGGUGAUGGAGAAGAUGGACAUGGACCUGGCAAACUACCUCCUCAAGAAGAACUCCCUCUCGUUGCUGUCGAUCGUGGCAGUGAUGCUCCAAGUCGCUACUGGCAUGGCUUGGCUUCACUUGAAGAACGUAAUCCACCGGGACCUCAAGCCGCAGAACAUCUUGGUUGGCGAAGAAGACAACGAUCUCGUGAGUAUCAGGAUUGCCGACUUUGGAGUCUCGAGGCCCGAUUUCAUCUCCUCCCUCAUCAGCGAAGCCACCCCCAAGCAAGGCACCAGAAACUUCAUGGCACCAGAAGUGUGGACCAGCGAGCGCUACACGAAGAAGGCCGACGUUUACAGCUACGGGAUGCUGAGCUACCAGCUUGUCACUGGAAACACUCCGUUCAAGGUCGGGAUGGACAUGGAGCAAGUCCUUCGAGGCGAGCGUCCUGAGAUACCAGCCACCUGUCCAGAGUUCCUGUCGCAGCUCAUGCGGGAAUGCUGGAGCCACGAUGCAAAAGAGAGGCCUUCCUUCUCCGAUAUCUGCAAGCGGCUGAAGCAGUUCAAGUCCAGGAUCAUCACUGGCACCGACUCCAUCGACGAGCUACGAGCCAAGUAGGUUGAAGCAGCCAGGUCAUCUUCCUCUUCUUCGUACUCGUCGUCUUCCUUGUCCUCGUUGCACAGCAGGACUCGAGUGAACCUGGAUUCUCUUGUCCAAGCGACUGAGAAGCUCUGGACCCAAAAUCCCCCGCCUUGUCGUGUCCAGGUAAACUCUUUUGCUUUAUGUAACUUCUGGAGCUCACCACCUUUGGUUUCAGCCGGUACCACACCGUCCUCACCAGGUCGCACCAUUACCAAAACCAGAUCAAAGGACCGAGCUCUUCGAACUGGUAAAGAACGGCCUCAUCAUAAACGCCUUCGAGAAAGCUCUGUCCCUGAACGAUCCUUCCACAGUCUGGUGGCUUUGCACCAAGGUAAUCUGUUUACGCUCUCUGGCCGCUGAUCACGCCCGUCCUUUGUCAACUCAGGUAGAGCAUACCGUGCUGCUUGUCUUCAGUGAAUCGAUGCUCAUGGCACUGGCCGAGAAAAUCAACACCAACUUCACGGAAGACACUGCUCGCAGGCUGGUCUGGAUCGACGAGAUUGGCGUCUUGCUGUUGAAAGACGUCAAUGGAUGGGCAUCACCUCGGAAGAUGAGGAUCCUGGAGCAGCUUUCACAGAACCUCCACGGUAUGAUGGCCAUAACACCACCAAAGAGUGAGCUGGGCAUGACCUUGACGAACAUGCUGGAAGGCACCAACGUGUGGCUGCAGGUUCGUACAUAUGAAGCUCUUCGUUUCUUUCGUUUCCAUCUCCUUGAUUCACAUCGUUUUGUUGCAGCGUAUCCGGGUUGCUGUGGAAAACAAAGUUCGAUACAUGAGCAUCGUUGGCGGAUAUUUUCCAGCGGAAUACCGGUAGUUUCUGGAUGUUGAUGUCCUGGCAUAAAACAUGCUUCACCUUACCCUGGCCAGCAAAACUUACGAGGAAAAGAAUGAGCUCACCUGUUUUCUACAGCCGUGACCUUUGGCAAGCUGAAGACCUUGCUCCCCAACUGAAAUCGCUUGCUCGCUCGCCUAAACCCUAAUUUCGCUCAGUUAAUGAUCGAUUCCAGCCUGGAUUUGAAUUGAAAGGGUUGCGGCACUGCUUGCUGCCGCUGGAGACGAUCUGAUGUCCCUGCUGCUACAAGGGAAGGCUUCCUUGGGCUGGAGAUUUGCUGAUGCUGCCAAGAGGCCUCUCUUCUUGCUGGGCACUAGGCGUGGAAUUGCUGUGCGAAAGGGCCUUGAGGCUGAUGGAGAGAUCACAUUCGAGUGGGGGAGAUGGAGCUGGUUCCUGACGGGUCCUGAUACAAGCUGGGGUGUGUGCAAGCUUGGGUACCAUGCUGCUGCUGCUGUUCAACACCACAAGAUGCUGAUUUCAUGAGCUCAGCUUUUCUGGCUGAGUGGGGGAGUGAGAUAGGGUUCCCAGUGGUUUAGCAUUAGUUUCUUUUUUUUUUAGCCUUCGCAUACUGAUCUCGGAGCAAUAGAGUUUUUUUCUUUUCUUCCUUAGUUUUCAACAUGGACAACACAAGUAGCCUGUGAAUUAAUGAGGUACAAUAGAAGAGGAUCUAGCCCAGCUUGAUUAGGAAUUUCCACUGUUGGAGCUUACAUGAUCUCUUUUUGUUGAAGACAUGAAAUGCUGAAUUAAGCCAUACUGACAGUAUGUAUAGAAUCUGGCCACCUGCAACAUAUGUCAAUAAGCCACUUUCUACUGGUGAUGAUUACUUACAUAACAAAGCUAAAUCAAUGGUGCUUGACAUACACCCCAGGAUCUUCAUCUUGCUCCAUGAUCUCAAGUACAACAUUUGGAAGCUUGCAUGUGAGGAAACCCUGGAUAACCACAGCGAAAUCUUCCAAGAACUUGAUAAGUCUUCAAGAGUAUCAACGAUUGCCUUACAAGUCUCAUUCCUAGUCACAGUACUUUCGCUGAUUCUGUAGAGCUCUAAGAGUGUGAUAUACUUCUGCUCCGUUUCAUAGCUUGUACAAAGUACAAGCAACCCAGAUUUGCACAAAAACUGCUCUACGAUAGCUGGUAUCUUGCUUUCGAAUGUGAUGGUGUAGGAGAUGCACAAUACUAUUAAAUGUUGUCUUUCAUGGGCUUGAUAUCUAGCCUGAAUAAAGAACUUGCUCUAGCUCGUCAAACAUUUCUUGCAUGAUCCUCAUUUGUAGUUUCUCUGGGAUCAAAGCUUGCUUCCCAGCCUCAUCAAGGUUGCACAUCAGUUACUCUUGUUAUAUUUUUCUACUCUACUGUGAGAAGCUUCACUAAGAUGCACUCCCACUUCUUGGCUAUCGANNNNNNNNNNNNNNNNNNNNNNNNNNNNNNNNNNNNNNNNNNNNNNNNNNNNNNNNNNNNNNNNNNNNNNNNNNNNNNNNNNNNNNNNNNNNNNNNNNNNACUCCACCAAUAGAGGUUUACGACACCCAACACCACUAACUUUUGUUCACAACACGGACAAGCUCAUGCCACUCUCUUUCCGACCAAACUCAACACUAAUCCAACACCAAGCUACUCAAGGAGCAAUAGCAAGGUUCCCCGGAAAAGAAUUGAGCAUUGCAACCCAAGUCUUUCAAUAGCGAGCCUAGACAAAAUGGUUUAGUGUUUCACCACUAUCCAUCCCAUAACUCACCACUUGUAAGACCAUCACUUCCAACAUGCAUCAAGGUAGGGACUCUUGAUUGCAUAAUGUGAACACAAGCAAUGAGUUAACACCUCAUUGCAAAUCAUCUCUCCAAGAAGAGAAAAUGAUUUACGUAUUUGAUCCUCCGUCCUCGAUGACUCUCUUUUCGGUCUCAUCUUUGACCAAACCUCAAGCUUGCUUUCGCACUGCCUUCAGUUCAAUCGAAGAAAAGUUUAUGAGAGAGCACGGCAAUGAUUACUUGAACCAAUAGACUAUUCCCUACAGUCUUGACUGAUCCAAUUAUAAUCAUGCCUAGGAAGGAUCCACUAGUGCCGUGCUAAACAGCUAUGGACCAGCCUAUUUGCCACUCAUAGCAAACUCAGGGAAAGUUUACUUUCACCCACGGUACAUGGAACAACUCAUGGAACCACUGGAACCAUCGAUAGGCUUACAUUAAUCCUGCCAACUUAAAGUGUAACCUCAAGUUGCUAAUGCGCCUCACUCACGAGCCCAAGCUCAAACUCGUGCAAAUGGAACAUCUCCAAUCCAUCCUAUGAGCCCAAGCGCAAGCUCACAUCAUAAGGUACAACAAGGUAACCCAAAACCUAUCCCAAGGAACCAAUGCGAAGUCUUUGCACCAAAACGUGUACCCACUCGGAUCAUCGUUUUCAUCUCUGCGUAUGCAACGAGACUAGUUGCCCAAUCUCAUUGAAUAGUACUCGCUGAGACUCAUCCUCUGAUACCAAAUGUAGCGCACGUGGUUUUGACCCUUUAUCCUAUGGUGAUUUACCAUAGGAUAACACCACAAAGCGGAACCUAAACCCUCUUUGUGCCACGUGACAGAUGCCACGUGUCACAUGCCACGUGUCCAUGCCACGUGUCCAUAGAAACCCGAGGUUCAGGGCCUUGGGCCACUGAACGAAGGAACGGUGCCAAACUCCCAAGCGUGGAGCCAAGGAGUGAUGGAACCGGACCACGGAGCAACUCCCGAGCAUACAGCCCAAGGAGCGAAGGGACAGGAGCCCGGAGCGACUUGGAACAGUCCUAGAGCAACCAGCAUCCCAAUGCCAGGACCAGCACGCAAAACGGAGCCAAACAGAGUCUGGCGCUAUUUCGGCAUACCGGUGGCCUAACGCGAGGAUAUGGGUACUCCACCAACUAGCAUGGAAUGGAACUUGGGCUUAGACCCAAGCCGGACGCAGAACAAGGACAGGCACGCAAGCGGGAGCUAGACUAUGCCUCAGGUUGGUCGGCCAUGCCCGACCUACCCACUAUCCCUACUAUACAUUUGGAACCCCCCACAGCCCCCCCCCCUUGAGGAACACACGCUUUGGGCUUUCACCCCAAGCCUCCCUUAGUAUCAGGAGUUAGUCUCUGGGACAAACUCGAAACUUACUAAAUAUGGAAUGUCCUUAGAUUGCGAAUUUGGACACGGGACAAACACCAUUGUGUUCAGGCCGAUCUCUACAUUCUGUAGAUAUGCCAAAUGAGCAAAUCUGGACACUUUCCAUAAAUAGCAUUUGGGACCGAAAUGAGACUAACACAAAGGGCAUGAUAGCAAGGGUGUUUGGCAGACACGGUAAGCUAUCAUCUAGCGAUGUUGAGGGACCAAUCUCAAUAUCGCGGGGGUUCUUGAUACUAGCAAGUGCAAGCCAAUGACACAAGUUUCUCAAACCAGGCCGAGUAUGCUCAGCAAGAAACACAUAGGGUUCCUACCUUAUGUUUAUCCAAUCUAAGUGCAUGUUCAUUGACCAGUUUCUCAACUAGUUCAAGUGGGAACUGAUAACGGGUCCAGCAAUACCGACCUCCUGCCAUCGUGGCAGUAAGGUAAGAGUGUCCGUAAGGACUGGCCGACAGGUAACUUUCGAUACCUGAAGUCACAUUCGCGACAAUGAGACUCAAGCUCUAAAUCUUACUUUUCACGUCAUACAAUAUAAAAUUGUGUUCUAGGCUCCAUUGCCCCACUAUAUAAGUUCUAAAAGAGUUAGCAAACAAAUUCUAACACAUUGAAUUGAAUCCUUACAUUUCAAUGGCAAUCAUUACACCAUUUGUAGUGAUGAAAACUCUAACUAGUGCAUGUUUUUAAAGUGUUGGUGCAAUUUCUUUUAAUAUCUCCAUUUCAAUAGGAUCCUCCACCAGUGGUGUUUUUAUGUGAUUUGUAGUGGAGUUGAUUCUUCCACAAUUUGUAAAGGACCAAGAUCUUGUUGAAAAAAUGCAUAUGUUUUGUGGAUCUGGGGAAUAGAAUAUAAUAUGGUCCUCGAUAUUGAAGCCAUAUGUACAUGAAUAACAUGCCCAUUCUAAGCCUAAAAAUUCACAAUACCCACCUCAAUAGAGCAUGAAUGUUUCUCUUAGGAAACAAAAAUAAUAACAAAUGUGUCAAUAGGUAGAAAUUUAUUAUGCCACCCACAAAUUAGUAUUCCCGUACAUGAAUUAGAACCAUGCAUGGUUGAUCUAUAAAUAUUGCCUCUAAAUCUCCAUUUACACUUUGCAUAAAACACAGGUUCAUAUUGUUUACUAUAUAUUUUAAAGCUUAUCAGCAAAAGACUAGCUUGAAAGUAUGUUUGCGUGAGUGUGGUCAUGUAUAUGUAUAGGUUGAGCAAAUUCAGCAAAGUGGAGGGCAUCACCCAUAUGCCCCCUUCCACGUCAUAUAAACACAUGCAUAAUUGACACAUAAAGAAUCAUUACAACCACUUGUGUAUAACUAUAACAUUCCAAUGCCCCACAAUUAUGCUCACUGCAAUGAGCAUAAAACUUAUACCAAUGAAAAAAGCUAAAUAAAUGAAAAAUUACCCCACACAAUAACUAUCUCUAUGUAUUGCAAUAUGCCCAAGAAAAGAAACAAAAAGCCUUGACCAACAAUCUAAUAUAAACUCCAACCUUAAGUCCACAAUCAAUGCAAGAACAAUGCCUAUAUCACGUGGGAAUAGCACAAUAUGCCCAAAACACAAAGGAACGAGAGUUACAAGUAUUUGCAAUCUCACUUAACCUUGAUCAAUAUAUGCUAAUCUUCAAGUGCCAACAUCACUCCUAAAUAGCACACAUGAAAGAAUGGAAGUCAUAACUGCUUGCAUACAAAGACCUCUCACCCAAACCCUAAUCAAUGCAUGCUCCUACUCUUCAUCACACCCACCAAUAUGUAAAAUUUGCUUUUGAAGCAUAUCAUGCCCACAUCACACCUAAGAUUGUGGGAAAGCUGUUGUUCUUGGCUGGAUAUAAAGGAAGUGCAAUACUAAAGACAAAAAAAACUUCACUAGAUUUUUUGUGAUGUCUAUGUGGCAGGUUUAAAUGGCAUACAAAUCACAUUUUAAUCAUAUAAAAUGAUGUACUUUAAAUUCUGUUGAUUCCAUAUCAUCAUAUUUUCUUGUAGUGUUAGUGAUAUAAAAAACAUAUUUAACUUUACUUUUACUACAUAGGCCUUGCAAAACACCUCUGAUAUCUUGGAUCAAACUUCCAUGCUUAGUCACCUAAAACAGUACUUUUAGAAGUUCAGACUCUUAAACAACUUUAAGUAGCCUUUUAUGGUCUUAUUAAACGUAUUAUUCCCCAGGAGUAAUGGAUAUUUCUGCACACCCACAUUGGCAAGUUGCAUCAAACACAAUCACUUAGCAAGUUGGCCUCAAACACAAUCACGUUUCCCCAAUAACUAGCACAACUCCACCAAAAAAAUAUCAAUAGCAUUACCCCUUGAUCUUGCCACUAUGGAGAACAAAACGUGCCAUGAUACUAGUUUAUAUUUUCGAAGCGCAACUACACAUGAAAUUCGAAAAGUCAACAAUCAUUUUCCAGGAUAUAGCUUUCUAACAUCAAUCGGCGCUGGUGGUGAUUGCAUGGCAGCAAAAAGUUUGGCCGAGGCAAUUCGAAUCUCGGACAAAGUUGCCGCAAGGUCCACGAACACAAACUCGAGCAAGGUCUGUAGGAACCAAUGUAGGAUCUUCUUAGCAGCGGUCGACCAUGUCGGAGACUACCUCAAGCGAAUCCAGGAUCUCAACUUCGCGAGCACUGGGACAGCUUUCGUGUGGGACGAAACCGUGGCUGUCCUUAAGAGAGGCCUCCAUCUCCUCAAGUCGUGCCAAGAAGGCAAUUGGAUCGCGCGGAGCCUGCUGUUCAAGGAAAGCUGCGAUGAGUUCCAGAGCAUUUAUACCGUCCACCUCGGUAAGAUCCAAGAUUGCCGAAGCUUACAACUCGUGCCUCAUGAGGCAAAACUCGAACAGCAUGCUGGAAGAAGCCGGAAGGAAUGACAGGAAGGCGCUCAUGGCUCUCGCAAUGAGCCAAGAGCCGGGAAGCCUGACGACCGAGAGCGAGCAAGCCAAAGAGAUACUUUGCUCCAUGCUCCUGGGAAACAAGUCAGUGAUUAACCACAAGGAACUCAAGCUGACAACACACCUGGGACAAGGCGGUUUCGGAACCGUGUACGAAGCAAUCUGGCUCGGUCACAAGUUUGCAGUGAAAGUCUUCCCUCAAGGUGACAAGAGCUUCGCCAAAGAGCUCGCGGUUCUCGAAGCGGACAAGCAUCCCAACGUGUUGCACAUCGCCGGUCAUUCUUUCGAUGAAGAGAAGCAGCGGUACUCGCUGGUGAUGGAGAAGAUGGACAUGGACCUGGCAAACUACGUCCUCAAGAAGAACUCUCUCCCGUUGCUGUCGAUCGUGGCAGUGAUGCUCCAAGUUGCUACUGGCAUGGCGUGGCUUCACUCGAAGAAUAUAAUCCACCGGGACCUCAAGCCGCAGAACAUCUUGGUUGGCGAAGAAGACAACGAUCUCGUGAGUAUCAGGAUUGCCGACUUUGGAGUCUCGAGGCCAAACUUCAUCUCCUCCCAGAUCGAAGCCGUUAGCAUCCAAGGCACCAGGAACUUCAUGGCACCGGAGGCGUGGAGCAGCGAGCGCUACACGAAAAAGGCCGACGUUUACAGCUACGGGAUGCUGAUUUACCAGCUUGUCACUGGAAACGUUCCGUUCGAGGACGGGAUGGACAUGGAGCAAGUCCUUCGAGGCAAGCGUCCUGAGAUACCAGCCACCUGUCCAGAGUUCCUGUCGCAGCUCAUGCGGGAAUGCUGGAGCCACGAUGCGAAAGAGAGGCCUUCCUUCUCGGAUAUCUGCGAGCGGCUGAAGCAGCUCAAGACCAGGAUCAUCACUGGCAUCGAGUCCAUCGACGAGUUACGGGUCAAGUUGGUUGAAGUAGCCGGGUCGUCUUCCUCUUCUUCGUACUCGUCGUCUUCCUCAUCCUCGUCGCACAGCAGGACUCGAGUGAACCUGGAUUCUCUUGUCCAAGCGACUGAAGGGCUUUGGACCAAAAAUCCUCCAUCUCCCCUUGUACAGGUAAACUCUUUUGUUUUUAGUAACUUCCGGUGCUCAUCGUGUUUAGUUUCAGCCGGUACCACACCGUCCUCAGCACUUCGCACCAGUAGCAAAACCGGAUAACAGGACCGAGCUCUUCGAACUGGUGAAGAACGGCCUCGUCAGAAACGCCUUCGAGAAAGCUCUGUCCCUGAACGAUCCUUCCAUGGUCUGGUGGCUUUGCACCAAGGUAAUCCAUUCACGUCCUCCAGCUGCUCAUCAAAGCUUUGUCAGCUCAGGUGGAGCAUACCGUCCUGCUUGUCUUCAGUGAAUCAAUGCUCAUGGAACUGGCCGAGCAAAUCAACACCAACUUCAAGGAAGACACUGCUCGCAGGUUGCUCUGGAUCGACGAGAUUGGCAUCUUGCUGUUCAAAGACGUCAAUGGACAGGCAUGGUCAUCACCUCGGGUGCUGAGGAUCUUGGAGCAGCUUUCACAGAACUUCCACGGCAUGAUGGCUAUAACACCGCCAAAGAGCGAGCUGGGGAUGAAGCUGGUGAACAUGCUGGGUGGCACCAACAUGGGUCUCCAGGUUCGUAUGAAGCUCUUCGUGUUAUUCAUUUGAUUCAAAUCGUUUGUUGUCGCAGCAUAUCUGUUAGGCACCAGCUUUGACUACGUGGUCAACAUCGGUCAAAGGGUAUAUGAAGGCAUGUUAGGGUAAGGGACUUAACUUACCCUAGGGCUCACAGUGGAGUGGUGGUGCAGUGGAACUUUUGAGGUAGCUCAGGGGUGGUUGGGUGGUGAGGAACCUCAAGAGGUGGCAUAGCAUAAUCUAGGGCAACUAGAUUUUUGUCUUUUUGCGCCGGAUCAUAACAUUGGUAUCAGAGAAGUUGGUUGCGAUGGCCGACCAAGCUGAACGCUGGAAUCCUAUUGUCGAUGGUGGUGCCAACAAUGGUGCUGACGAAGCUGCAGAGAUUUAGACCAUUCAAGAUGUGGUUCAUGAGCUGCGAGCCCUUAACCGAAAUCAGUAAGAGAUGCAAGAUGAGAUGCAUGGCAUGAUGGAUACCAUGCGUGGGCGUGUUGAGGCACUCGAGGCUGGACGGGGUAGCGCUCCAAGUAAACCUUCUUUGGUAGAUCGACUCAAAAUUCCAAAUUUUUCCGGUGAUGGUGGUGUGGACGAGUGUCUCGCUUGGCUAGCCAAUGUGAAGAAGUUCUUGGCUGCUAGAGGAACUCCAGAUGCAGAGGCUUUAGUGGCUAUUCCGAUGGUUUUGCGUGAUGCGGGUUUUCGAUGGUGGAAUUGGCUUGAGGAGUCCCGUGUUGUGGAUAAGAAACCACCAGUGUCUACCAUGGAUGAGUUUGAGGUUGCUUUUCAUUUAUGUUUUGCCCCUCAUUACGACAUGGAGAAUGCUCGUACAGAACUUUGACAUUUUCAGCAAAGGAAAAUGAUGCUCGGGGACUAUAUUGAGAAGCUUACUUGCUUGAUUAGUCGUGUUCCAACGAAGGAUCCAGAUCAGAACAAGUCCUACUUCAUUGAUGGCCUACAUAGUGAGAGCAUGCGGCAACACUUGCGUCAUUCUCAGCCUACAAAGAGUUUGAAGGAGCUCUUUGAUGUGGCUCGUCGACUUGACAAUGAUAAGCACAAGUCUCGCAAGCGUUUGCGGAGUCCUUCUGUCGAGAAUCGUCGUGAUGAUCACCAUGGACACAAGGAUGGGAACAAGCAUCACAAAUUGAAGUCAGUGGUGACUACUUCGGAUGCAAAGGGGUCCAAGAAGUAGAAGUUCUUUGUGAAGAAUUAUAGACAAGGUUGUCAUCAUUGCGGCGAACUUGGACANNNNNNNNNNNNNNNNNNNNNNNNNNNNNNNNNNNNNNNNNNNNNNNNNNNNNNNNNNNNNNNNNNNNNNNNNNNNNNNNNNNNNNNNNNNNNNNNNNNNNNNNNNNNNNNNNNNNNNNNNNNNNNNNNNNNNNNNNNNNNNNNNNNNNNNNNNNNNNNNNNNNNNNNNNNNNNNNNNNNNNNNNNNNNNNNNNNNNNNNNNNNNNNNNNNNNNNNNNNNNNNNNNNNNNNNNNNNNNNNNNNNNNNNNNNNNNNNNNNNNNNNNNNNNNNNNNNNNNNNNNNNNNNNNNNNNNNNNNNNNNNNNNNNNNNNNNNNNNNNNNNNNNNNNNNNNNNNNNNNNNNNNNNNNNNNNNNNNNNNNNNNNNNNNNNNNNNNNNNNNNNNNNNNNCUUGUGUCGAGGGGCUGGAAGUGUUGGUUGGCAAAACCACACUUGUGGAGACUUUUUAUCUCACGGAUAUCCAUCGUGUGGAUCUCAUUCUUGGGAUGCCAUGGUUGGCAAAGGUGGAUCCAGAGAUAAAGUGGAGCAUUAAGCGUAUCUCGCUGGAGUAUGGUGGCGUUAAAGAUGUGUGGUUUGGCGAGGGCGUUCAACCACCAGUUGUUAUGCUCUCUGCUACAUCUUUGAAACGGGCUUGUCAUAAUAAAAAAGCACUUUCAAGUUACUUGCUGUUUGUUCGUGACUUGGGGGACCAAGGCACGUGUGGGGGAGAAGCAGCAGUACAGGAUAUAUUUGACGAGUUUUCUGAUGUUUUUCCAUAUGAACUUCCUCAUGGAUUACCUCCGUUACGAGGUGUGGAGCAUGGGAUUACAUUGGAGUCGGGGAUGCGGCCAAUUUACCAGUGUCCAUUUUGGUUAAGUUAUGCGCAGGAGCAAGAAGUUCAACGACAAGUCAAGGAGUUACUUGAGUUUGGAUUUAUUCAGCCAAGUAAGUCUCCGUUUGGUGCUCCAGUCUUGCUUGUGAAGAAGAAAGACGGUUCAAUGCGGUGAAGGACAAGAUUUACCGUGCUUUAAACAAGAAGACAGUGAAGGACAAGAUGCCGAUGCCACGUGUGGAUGAUAUCCUGGACAAGCUUGGUGAAGCACGAGUGUUUACUAAGAUUGAUCUGAGGAGUGGAUAUCAUCAGAUUGCAAUGGAUGAUGCAUCUAUCUCCAAGACGGCAUUCAACACAAGUUUCGGACAUUUUGAGUUUACCGUUAUGCCGUUUGGUUUGACGAAUGCACUGGCCACAUUUACUCAGUUGAUGACGGAGGUAUUUGGGCGUUAUCUUCAUGAGUUUGUGAAGAUUUUCUUGGACGAUAUUCUUGUUUUUAGCAAGAAUAUGGAGGAGCAUAGGGUGCAUUUGCGCAAGGUUCUUUUGUUACUUUGAGAUAGCAAACUUUAUGCGAAGAAGAGCAAAUGUGAAUUUGCAAAGUCGGAGGUGGAAUAUCUAGGCCAUAUUGUGACAUCUAAGGGUGUCAAGACAGAUCCAGGAAGGUGGCUAUGGUGGAAAACUGGCCUACACUGACUACAGUGGCCGAGUUGUGCAGUUUUCUUGGUAUGGCUAGUUACUACCGACGUUUCCAGCAUAAGUUUGCAGAGGUGGCUAUUCCUUUGACGUGGUUGUUACGCAAGAAUGUGCCAUUCGAGUGGAAGAAGCCACAAGAGGAGAGUUUUGUAGCGCUGAAAUGAUUGUUGAGCGAGGCUCUAGUGCUUCGCAUUGCUGAUCCAUUGAAACCUUACGAGGUGACAUGCGAUGUGAGUGGUUAUGCACUGGGAGGAGUUUUUAUGCAAGAGGGACAGCCUAUUGCAUGUGAGAGUCGAACUUUGAAUUCCGCAAAGCAAUGUUAUUCCACAUAUGAGCAAGAGUUACUCUCUAUUGUUCAUGCUUUGUAGACGUGGCGGCACUAUCUUUAUGGUGCAGUGUUCGUGGUGUUGACAGAUCACAAACCACUUGUGUAUCUUUUCACACAGAAGGAGUUGAACACUAGACAAGCUCGUUGGAUGGUCAAACUCAUGGAGUUUGGGGAGUUUCCUAUUGAGCAUUGUCCGGGAAAAUCCAAUGUGGUGGCAGAUGCUUUAUCUCGUGUUCGUCAUAUGACGACAUUACAAACACGAUUUUGUCAUCAUUUGAGUAAGGUGGUCAGUGGGUUUGGACAGUUGGUUGAGCAUGCUCAGGCUCAGGAUGCUGAGGUGGCCUCUUUGCGUGACCAGAUGGAAGCUCCUUUCUCAUUGGUGGAUGGGAUUCUCUAUUACAAUGGCCGUGUAUAUUUGCCACGGGUGGAUGCGUUAAUUACUCAAGUUUUAUUCCACUAUCAUGAUCGUCCAGAGGCCGGUCAUUUUGGGGGGAAGAAGACGUAUAAAUUGAUUAAGCGCAACUUUUAUUGGAGGAAUAUGAAGGUUGAUAUCCUCAAGUAUUGUAAAUCAUGCGAGCUUUGUCAGCGGGUUAAGGUGCCACGAGAGAAGCCGGGGGGACUUUUGCAACCUUUACCUAUUCCUCAGAGCCGUUGGUGUAGUAUCUCUAUGGACUUCAUCACUUGUUUGCCACGAACACAGAGGCAAAAGGAGCAAGUAUGGGUUAUAGUGGAUCGGUUGACAAAGUAUGUGCGGUUGUUGGCUCUUCGGAAGAUUGUCACUGCCUCAGACUUGGCUGCGGUUUACUUGGAGAAGGUUUUUCCUGAUUUUGGUUUGCCAGAGGACAUCAUUAGUGAUCGAGAUUCAAAGUUCACCAGUGGAUUUUGGAAAAGCUUUGCAAAGGUUAUACAAGUGACUUUGAAACUCUCGAGUGGAGAUCAUCCUUAGACGGAUGGGCAAACCGAGCGUGUAAAUCAAAUGGUGGAGGAUAUGCUACAUUGUAGCAUUGGUCAAAGGCAAGGACAGUGGGAUUUUUAUCUUCCGUUGGUGCAAUUUGCUUACAACAAUAGCCAACACAGUGGAACCAAGCUAAGUCCUUACUUUGCCAUGUUUGGAAGGCAUCCUCAAAUAGUAGUGGAGUUGGGAUUGCAUUUGAGUAAAGACAUUCAAGAUAAGCUUGAUUCCAAGGCAACUGAUCUGGCCACAGAACUUGAUGAGAUCUUGGUGGUGUGCAAACAAAAUUUGCAAGCAGCUCAGGAUAGAGCGGAGAAGUUUGCCAAUGAGCAUCACCAAUUCCAGGAAUAUAAGGUGGGUGGUCUGAUCUUUGUACGCGUGAUCUUUCCGUCAAGUGAGCGGUAGAACACCUUGGUGCCUUUACGGACAGGGAAGAGUGAUAAACUUUCCCAUCGAUAUGCUAGUCCAUAUGAAGUGCUGGAGCACUUUGGUAAAGCGGCUUAUCGGGUGUGGCUGCUAGCUGGGGUGAAAAUUCAUCCGGUAUUUUAUGUCAGCCAGUUGAAAGGUGUACUAUUUCGGAGUGACGGGCCCAAUGCCUCCUUGAUGUAUACAGCUGUGGAAGAUGGACCAGAAGCUUGAGUAGGAUUCCCUAGAAAGGGUGAUCACAAAUUCAACUCGUCCUUGGGACAAGGACUUUGUUGGGGGGGAAGAAUUGUUAGGCGCCAGCUUUGACUACGUGGUCAACGUCAGUCAAAAGGGGGCUCAAGGGUAUAUGAAGGCAUGUUAAGGUAAGGGACUUAACCUACCCUAGGGCUCACAGUGGAGUGGCGGCGCAAUGGAGCUUUUGAGGUAGUUUGGGGGUGGUUGGGUGGUGAGGUGGUGUAGCAUAAUCUAGGGCAACUAGAUUUUUGUCUUUUUGCGCCGGAUCAUAACAGUAUCUGAGUUGCAGUUGACAGCAAAGUUCAACACAUGAGAGUCCUUGGAGGAUACUUUCCAGUGGAACACCGGUAGUUUCGGAGUAUUUCGAUGUUCUAAUUUCCUGCCUGCCAAAAGCAUCAACCAUGCUUCAUGAAAGAACCAUAAAGAACUUACCAAUUCCCGUUCUGAACUUUGAGUAAACACCUAUCAUCGUUUCAUCCUGCGACAAAUAUCCAAGAACAAAGCUCUCACCAUUCUUUAGUUUUAAACUUGAGUAGACGGGUGAAGAUCCCAACCUUUUCGAUCUAGCAGCAGCAGUAGCAAGCAGCCUUGGCAGCUCCCGCAGCAGCGUAGACACCAGUAAUUCUCGUCGCCACAGCAUCGAGGAUCAUUGCUCUCCGCUCAAAGAACGACUUUGCCACUUUCAGCUUCUCGGAUCCCCAUAGGCUUGUAGACGAUCCCGGCAGCUAGCCGCUGCUUCAUGACCUUGGCUGGACGAACGUAAGCAUCGCCCAGCUUGGCCUUCAAUCUCUUUGGCACCUGAAAAUCCGAUCGACCACCACCACCGCCCCCCGCUUUGUUGCGCUUGCCCGGAUUCUUGGAGCCGGUGCUCUCGCCGUGCAAGGACGAAGAAUUUGCUGGAGCCACACCAGCAAGCGCCUUGUCUUGCUCUUUGAUCCCUUCCUUCUUGGUGUGCUCGGACCAGAGAUCGCGCGAUGCGAACAAUGCUGAGUACGUGGGGCUCUUCUUGGCGUAGAGGAAGGGAUUGGGAGAGAUCCACCUCGUGGAUGUAGAGGCGCAACGAGCGAGCUCCACUGCAAGAAUAUCGAUAUCGAGGAUGACAAGAAAAGCCAUUUCUUAUGCCUGAUUAAAGUAUAAUUCCCAGACAAGACUUAGGAUUUAUAAUUACUCAAAAGAAAAGUCCACGGUAGACUUUUCCCACGCUGCAAAGCAAUGGAGCGGCGCUAGUGGUGAUCACCGACGAGCAUGGCAGCAGCGAAUUUGCUCGAGGCGAUUCGAAUCGCGGACAAGGUUGGCACAAGAUCCACGAACACAAACUCGAGCAAGGUCUGUAGAAACCAAUGUAGGAUCCUCAUCGCGGCGGUCGGCUAUGUCCGAGACUAUCUCAAGCAAAUCCAGGAUCUCAACUUCGCGAGCAACAGGCGAGCCUUCGUAUGGGACGAAACCGUGGCUGUCCUUAAAAGAGGCCUCCAUCUCCUCAAGUCAUGCCAAGAGGGCGAUUGGAUCGCUCGGAGCCUGCUGUUUGAGGAAAGCUGCGAUGAUUUCCAGAGCAUUUACGCCGAGAUCUACAACUGCGUCGAGCUCGUCAGCGUCUAUCUCUUUCAGCUGGCACCGUCCACCUCGCACAGAUCCAGGAUUGCCGAGGCUUACAACUCGUGCCUCAUGAGGCAGAAUUCGAGCAGCAUGCUGGAAGAAGCCGGAAGGAACGAUCGGAAGGAGCUCAUGGCUCUCGCAAUGAACCAAGAGCCGGGAAGCCUGACGACCGAGACAGAACGAGCCAAAGAGAUACUCUGCUCCAUGCUCCUGGGAAACAAGUCAGUGAUCAACCACAAGGAACUCAAGCUGAGAACACACCUGGGACAAGGAGCUUACGGAACCGUGUACGAAGCAAUCUGGCUCGGUCACAAGUUCGCGGUGAAAGUCUUCGCUCAAGGUGACACCAGCUUCGCCAAAGAGCUCGCGGUUCUCGGAGCUCACAAGCAUCCCAACGUGUUGCACAUUGCCGGCCAUUCUUUCGAUGGAGAGAAGCGGCAGUACUCGCUGGUGAUGGAGAAGAUGGACAUGGACCUGGCAAACUACCUCCUCAAGAAGAACUCCCUCUCGUUGCUGUCGAUCGUGGCAGUGAUGCUCCAAGUCGCUACUGGCAUGGCUUGGCUUCACUCGAAGAACGUAAUCCACCGGGACCUCAAGCCGCAGAACAUCUUGGUUGGCGAAGAAGACAACGAUCUCGUGAGUAUCAGGAUUGCCGACUUUGGAGUCUCGAGGCCCGAUUUCAUCUCCUCCCUCAUCAGCGAAGCCACCCCCAAGCAAGGCACCAGAAACUUCAUGGCACCAGAAGUGUGGACCAGCGAGCGCUACACGAAGAAGGCCGACGUUUACAGCUACGGGAUGCUGAGCUACCAGCUUGUCACUGGAAACAUUCCGUUCAAGGUCGGGAUGGACAUGGAGCAAGUCCUUCGAGGCAAGCGUCCUGAGAUACCAGCCACCUGUCCAGAGUUCCUGUCGCAGCUCAUGCGGGAAUGCUGGAACCACGAUGCGAAAGAGAGGCCUUCCUUCUCGGAUAUCUGCGAGCGGCUGAAGCAGCUCAAAUCCAGGAUCAUCACUGGCACCGACUCCACCGACGAGCUACGAGCCAAGUUGGUUGAAGCAGCCAGGUCAUCUUCCUCUUCUUCGUACUCGUCGUCUUCCUCGUCCUCGUCGCACAGCAGGACUCGAGUAAACCUGGAUUCUCUUGUCCAAGCGACUGAGAAGCUUUGGACCCAAAAUCCCCCGCCUUCCCGUGUCCAGGUAAACUCUUUUGCUUUAUGUAACUUCUGGAGCUCACCACCUUUGGGUUCAGCCGGUACCACACCGUCCUCACCACGUCGCACCAUUACCAAAACCAGAUAAAAGGACCGAGCUCUUCGAACUGGUAAAGAACGGCCUCAUCAUAAACGCCUUCGAGAAAGCUCUGUCCCUGAACGAUCCUUCCACAGUCUGGUGGCUUUGCACCAAGGUAAUCUGUUUACGCUCUCUGGCCGCUGAUCACGCCCGUCUUUUGUCAACUCAGGUAGAGCAUACCGUGCUGCUUGUCUUCAGUGAAUCGAUGCUCAUGGCACUGGCCGAGAAAAUCAACACCAACUUCACGGAAGACACUGCUCGCAGGCUGGUCUGGAUCGACGGGAUUGGCGGCUUGCUGUUGAAAGACGCCAAUGGAUGGGCAUCACCUCGGAAGAUGAGGAUCCUGGAGCAGCUUUCACAGAACCUCCACGGUAUGAUGGCCAUAACACCACCAAAGAGUGAGCUGCGCAUGACCUUGACGAACAUGCUGGAAGGCACCAACAUGUGGCUGCAGGUUCGUACAUAUGAAGCUCUUCGUUUCUUUCGUUUCCAUCUCCUUGAUUCACAUCGUUUUGUUGCAGCGUGUCCGGGUUGCAGUGGAAAACAAAGUUCGAUACAUGAGCAUCGCUGGCGGAUACUUUCCAGCGGAACACCGGUAGUUUCCCUGGCAUAAAACAUGCUUCACCUUACCCUGUACCGCUUAUCUCCUGCCAGCAAAACUUACGAGAAAAAGAAUGAGCUCACCUGUUUUCUACAGCCGUGACCUCUGGCAAGCUGAAGAUCUUGCUCUCCGAGUGAAAUCGCUUGCUCGCUCGCCCAAACCCUAAUUUCGCUCAGUUAAUGUUUUCUUGAAUUCUCACAUUACACAUAUUAGGAGCCCAACAGAAGGGUGAAUCAGUGUAUUAUGCGAUAAAUUGCCUCUCUAUUUAGUUCUGGUCAAGUAGAACAAUCAACAUCAUCAUUGUCUUUUACCAUGUUUAUUGUGUCUAGCAGCAUCACUAAUGUAGGUCAGAAAAUUAUGCAAAUAAUCCGGAGGCUUAGAAUGAAGCUAAAUUGGACAUAUCUUUAAGAAGCCAAACGCAAUGCAUAACCUCUUGAGCUGUUUGUUGCAGAAGUUAGUUGCAUUGAGUUUUUCUCUUCCUUAGUUUUCAACAUGGUAUCCGAGAUCACGGAUUAGAUCCUGGCUGAAUGGAGGAGGAAGACGACUGAUCUGGAGCGGCAGUUUUCUUAUUUAGGCAACCCUAAAUUGGAGGCAGUUCUUGAUCGAGUCCGGCCUGGAUUUGAAUUGAAAGGGUUGCGGCACUGCUUGCUACCGCUGGAGAUGAUCUGAUGUCCCUGCUGCUACAAGGGAAGGCUUCCUUGGGCUGGAGAUUUGCUGAUGCUGCCGAGAGGCUUCUCUUCUUGCUGGGCACUAGGCGUGGAAUUGCUGUGCGCAAAGGGCCUUGAGGCUGAUGGAGAGAUCACAUUUGACUGGGGGAGAUGGAGCAAGAUGCUGGUUCCUGACAGGUCCUGAUACAAGCUGGGCUGUGUGCAAGCUUGGGUACUUUGGAACGUGCUGCUGCUACUGUUCAACACCACAAGAUGCUGAUUUCAUGAGCUCAGCUUUUCUCAUUUUACCAUUAGUUUUUUUUUUUCUGAUCCAUGGCCUCGGCUGACUGGAGGAUGCAGUACAUCCACGUGGUGACACGUGGCAGAUCUGAGCGAUAGAGGUUUUUUUUCUUUUCUUCCUUAGUUUUCUACAUGGACAACACAAGUAGCCUGUGAAUUAUUUAGGUACAACAGAAGAGGAUCUAGCCCAGCUUGAUUAGAAAUUUCCACUGUUGGAGCCUACAUGAUCUCUUUUUGUUGGAGACACUUCCAAAUGCUGAAUUAAGCCAUACUGACAGUCAUGAAUAGACUCUAGCCACCUGCAACAUAUGUCAAUAAAGCACUUUCUACUGUUGAUGAUUACUUACAUAACAAUGCUGAAUCAAUGGUGCUUGACAUACACCUCAGGAUCUUCAUCUUGCUCCAUGAUCUCAAGUUGUGUGCAGUCGAUGCAUUCUGCAACAUUUGGAAGCUUGCAUGUGAGGAAACCCUGGAUAACCAUAGCUAAAUCUUCCAAGAACUUGAUCAAAAGUCUUCAAGAGUAUCAAUGAUUGCUUUACAAGUCUCAUUCCUAGUCACUGUACUUUCGCCAAUUCUGCAGAGCUCUAAGAGUGUGAUAUACUUGGCUCCACUUCAUAGCUUGUACAAAGUACAACCCAGACUUACACAAAAACUGCUCUACGAUAGUUGAUAUCUUGCUUUAGAAUGUGAUGGUGUAGGAGAUGCACAAUACUAUUAAAUGUUGUCUUUGCCAUGCCAGAGUUUUGCUUCCAACGAGAACAUAGAAGCAUAAGGAAGAAGAUGAAUAACUUGAUGUCCAUGGCUUUCUCAAUGAGAACCUGUAGGAAAAAUCUUUACUCAAGAACAAGAACAAAAGUAUUUCAAAAAGACUAUACCCAAAUGCAAGCUACACAAUCUUACCAUGCCACUUCUGCUACUGCAUCAAGACUGUGAUCUUGGUUGGCCAAGUUGUUGUUUUGUGUUAGCAGCUCGCUCAUCUUCCAUAUGCUGUGUCUCAAACUCCCUCUCCUCAGCUACACAUUAUCUCUCCUUUGCCAAAUGCUACUCCUCAAAUCGUAUAAAAUCUUGGUGCCAAGCACGCUCCUUUAUCUCCAUAUGUUGCUUCAUCCUCAUCUUCUCUGCUUCUCUCAUUUUCUUGUACUUGGCCUGAGUGCUUCCACCAUCAACUCAGUUUUCUUCCUUCCCUUCAGUCUUCAAGAUGAUUUUUGCUAUCUAUCUCUAGUAACAUAGAGUGGAAUCAUCCCAGCUUCAUUGUCUCUAUUACUUCCAUGCAUUGUACCACUUUGCACAUGAUGUUUUAGUGCCAUGUGACUACUUCACACUAGUUCAACUGGCUGCUGUCUAUGAUAUUCAUGGGCUUGAUAUCUAGCCUGAAUAAAGAACUUGCUGUAGCUCGUCAAACAUUUCUCGCGUGAUCCUCAUUUGUAGUUUCUCUGGGAUCAAAGCUUGCUUCCCGUGCACAUUAGGUACUCUUGUUAUAUUUUCUACUCUACUGUUGAGAAGCUUCAGUAAGAUGCACUCCCACUUCUUGGCUAUCGACACCAUCUUUUCUCGUUGAUCUAUGUUCGUUGACUCAUCUUUAAUCUCAUGGAGCUUCACAUUGAUGAGGAGCAUAAUUUCUACAAGAGACCAAUUUGGCAAGUGAUCUCUUGCUAGUAAAGUUCUUGCUUUUGUUAGUGACGGCCUUAGUAGCAGCAACAUGAAGAGAUGGCCUAGACCCGCCAACAGCAAAAGCAACCUCAGUAGCAACAAGAGAAAUUUCUGCCACUGCAAGCUUUUCUAUUACUUUGAAAGUUCUAAAAAUGCUUGUUUACCUCUAAAGUUCUUAUGCUCCUCAUAAAAAUCCUUGGCAAGCACAAGUGCUAGAACUUCCAAGGAAUGUGAAGUGGAAAAAUUGAUAAAUCACUUUUUUACUUAGAAUUCUUGCUGGUAUAGCUGCUCCCAAAUUCUGGCAACAAAUUGAUGCGCUCCCGCUGCAAAGCAAUUCAAUCAAUCCACACUAAGAACUAAGAGCUAGCAUACCCUAGAUCCGGCCAGCAAUUGCUGAGCAGAGUAAAUACCUAAUACUAGCAUUGAAAGAGCCAAGGCACCCCAGACGACAUUGUCAAUGCCAUUGGCAAAUUGCCAAGAUGCCAAGCCCAGUAUGCAGAUGUCUAGCUAAAAAUAUAUGGCACCAUAUGAAUUAAUUUUUUAUUAGUGGCAUAUUUUAUUUAUAAUAUAAAUUCUGAAUAAAUAACAGUCAUUAAUCCCCAGUUAAGUCAUCAGCUUUGAUCCCAGCUAUGUAUGAUUCCUUUUGCUCUUGUGAGCCAUCUAAAUUGCUGAAAAUUGAUGUUUUAUUAGUUCUUAUGUUUAUAUAUGGAUCUGGAAAUAUUGAGAAUCCAAAAGCACCCAAAAAAGGGAAAAUCCUAUUUUAAUAUCCAACUUAUGAUUUGGGGGAUCAAAGGGUUAUUAAAAUAGGAAAGUAUAAAUUAUUUUCCCUUUUUAGGUAUAGAUUAUAUCCAAUGCUUGGAAUAUGGAAAGGGAAUACAGAAAAUGUACAUAUCAAUUAAUAAAAUAUCAAUUUUUAGCAAUUUAGAUGGCUCAUUCUUUCUCUCUCUCAAAGAAGAACAUGUAUCACAUAUUAGUAGGAGCAAAAAAAUAUCACAAAAAUACAUCCACUAUAUUACUUACAAGAGUAACUUCAAUAUUAUACAACAAGUGAAAAAGGUUGAGGACUAAUGUUUACCAUACAUGUGUGACAUAUAUAAUGAUGUACUUUAAAUUCUGUUAAUUCCAUAUCACCAUUUAUACAAUAUUUUCUUGUAGUGUUAAAGUGAUAUAAAAAAUAUAUUUAACUUUUCUUUUACUACAUAGGCUGUGAUAUCUACCAUGGAUCAAGCUUCCAUGAUUAGUCACCUUAAACAGACUUCUACAAGCGUAUUAGAAGAAGAAGUUCAGACUCUUAAACAACUUUACCUAAGAAUAUAAAAUCCAGUUCAAAGAGGAAAGUAUGCCUUUUAUAGCCUUAUUAAACAUAUUAUUCCCCAGGAGCAAUGGAUAUUUCUGCACGCCCACAUUGGCAAGUUGGAUCAAACACAAUCACUUAGCAAGUUGGCCUCAAACACAAUCAUGUUUCUCCAAUAACUACACCAAUAGCACUACUUCUACAACUCCACCAAAAAAAUAUCAAUAGCAUUACCCCUUGAUCUUGCCACUAUGGAGAACAAAACGUGCCAUGAUACUAGUUUAUAUUUUCGAAGCGCAACUACACAUGAAAUUUCGAAAAGUCAACAAUCAUUUUCCAGGAUAUAGCUUUCCAACAUCAAUCGGCGCUGGUGGUGAUUGCAUGGCAGCGAAAAGUUUGGCCCAGGCAAUUCGAAUCUCGGACAAAAUUGCCGCAAGGUCCACGAACACAAACUCGAGCAAGGUCUGUAGGAACCAAUGUAGGAUCUUCUUAGCAGCGGUCGGCCAUGUCCGAGACUACCUCAAGCGAAUCCAGGAUCUCAACUUCGCGAGCACUGGGACAGCUUUCGUGUGGGACGAAACCGUGGCUGUCCUUAAGAGAGGCCUCCAUCUCCUCAAGUCGUGCCAAGAAUGCAAUUGGAUGGCGCGGAGCCUGCUGUUCAAGGAAAGCUGCGAUGAGUUCCAGAGCAUUUAUCCCGAGAUCUUCAACUGUGUCGAGCUCGUCAGCGUCUAUCUCUUUCAGCUGGCACCGUCCACCUCGGUAAGAUCCAAGAUUGCCGAAGCUUACAACUCGUGCCUCAUGAGGCAAAACUCGAACAGCAUGCUGGAAGAAGCCGGAAGGAAUGACAGGAAGGCGCUCAUGGCUCUCGCAAUGAGCCAAGAGCCGGGAAGCCUGACGACCGAGAGCGAACAAGCCAAAGAGAUACUUUGCUCCAUGCUCCUGGGAAACAAGUCAGUGAUUAACCACAAGGAACUCAAGCUGACAACACACCUGGGACAAGGCGGUUUCGGAACCGUGUACGAAGCAAUCUGGCUCGGUCACAAGUUUGCAGUGAAAGUCUUCCCUCAAGGUGACAAGAGCUUCGCCAAAGAGCUCGCGGUUCUCGAAGCGGACAAGCAUCCCAACGUGUUGCACAUCGCCGGUCAUUCUUUCGAUGAAGAGAAGCAGCGGUACUCGCUGGUGAUGGAGAAGAUGGACAUGGACCUGGCAAACUACGUCCUCAAGAAGAAGAACUCUCUCCCGUUGCUGUCGAUCGUGGCAGUGAUGCUCCAAGUUGCUACUGGCAUGGCAUGGCUUCACUCGAAGAAUAUAAUCCACCGGGACCUCAAGCCGCAGAACAUCUUGGUUGGCGAAGAAGACAACGAUCUCGUGAGUAUCAG
rnacentral:lncRNA from 1 species